rnacentral:tRNA from 1 species
GCGGGUGUGGUGGAAUGGUAGACACAUCAGACUUAAAAUCUGAAGGGCAUCGCCCGUGCGGGUUCGAGUCCCGCCACCCGCA